GCGUUGUUAGCUCAGCCGGACAGAGCAAUUGCCUUUAAGCAAUCGGUCACUGGUUCGAAUCCAGUACAACGCGCCA
rnacentral:tRNA from 1 species